rnacentral:rRNA from 1 species
UACGAGUGCCCCAAGCGUUAUCCGGAAUUAUUGGGCGUAAAGGGUGUGUAGGUGGCGUUGUUAGUCUCUCGUCAAAUUCUUCGGCUUAACCGGGGGCAGGCGGGGGAAACGGCAAUGCUUGAGGAUGCGAGGGGUGAAUGGAACUCAUGGAGUAGGGGUGAAAUCCGUUGAUAUCAUGGGGAACACCAAAAGCGAAGGCAAUUCACUGGCGCAUUCCUGACACUGAAACACGAAAGCGUGGGUAGCGAACGGG